UGCAAGUCGAGCGAGAACCUGUCCUUCGGGACAGGGGACAGCGGCGAACGGGUGAGUAACACGUGGGUAAUCAACCCCUGGCUCCGGGAUAGCCCGAGGAAACUCGGAUUAAUACCGGAUGGCCCAACUGCGUCCUUCGGGGCGGUUGGAAAAGGUAGCUUCGGCCUCCGGCCAGGGACGAGCCCGCGGCGGAUUAGCUUGUUGGUGGGGUAAUGGCCUACCAAGGCGACGAUCCGUAGCUGGUCUGAGAGGACGAUCAGCCACACUGGGACUGAGACACGGCCCAGACUCCUACGGGAGGCAGCAGUGGGGAAUCUUGCACAAUGGGCGGAAGCCUGAUGCAGCGACGCCGCGUGAGGGAAGAAGGCUUUCGGGUUGUAAACCUCUUUCAGGAGGGACGAAGCUCCUCGGGUUAAUAGCCCAGAGGGUGACGGUACCUCCAGAAGAAGCCCCGGCUAACUACGUGCCAGCAGCCGCGGUAAUACGUAGGGGGCAAGCGUUGUCCGGAUUUAUUGGGCGUAAAGAGCGUGUAGGCGGCCAGAUAGGUCCGUUGUGAAAACUCGAGGCUCAACCUCGAGACGCCGAUGGAAACCAUUUGGCUAGAGUCCGGAAGAGGAGAGUGGAAUUCCUGGUGUAGCGGUGAAAUGCGCAGAUAUCAGGAAGAACACCCGUGGCUAAGGCGGCUCUCUAGUACGGUACUGACGCUGAGACGCGAAAGCGUGGGGAGCGAACAGGAUUAGAUACCCUGGUAGUCCACGCCGUAAACGAUGGGUGCUAGGUGUGGGGGGGGUGUCGACUCCCUCCG
rnacentral:rRNA from 1 species